rnacentral:rRNA from 1 species
GAGUUUGAUCAUGGCUCAGAUUGAACGCUGGCGGCAUGCCUUACACAUGCAAGUCGAACGGCAGCACGGAGCUUGCUCUGGUGGCGAGUGGCGAACGGGUGAGUAAUAUAUCGGAACGUACCCUAGAGUGGGGGAUAACGUAGCGAAAGUUACGCUAAUACCGCAUACGAUCUAAGGAUGAAAGUGGGGGAUCGCAAGACCUCAUGCUCGUGGAGCGGCCGAUAUCUGAUUAGCUAGUUGGUAGGGUAAAAGCCUACCAAGGCAUCGAUCAGUAGCUGGUCUGAGAGGACGACCAGCCACACUGGAACUGAGACACGGUCCAGACUCCUACGGGAGGCAGCAGUGGGGAAUUUUGGACAAUGGGCGAAAGCCUGAUCCAGCAAUGCCGCGUGAGUGAAGAAGGCCUUCGGGUUGUAAAGCUCUUUUGUCAGGGAAGAAACGGUGAGAGCUAAUAUCUUUUGCUAAUGACGGUACCUGAAGAAUAAGCACCGGCUAACUACGUGCCAGCAGCCGCGGUAAUACGUAGGGUGCAAGCGUUAAUCGGAAUUACUGGGCGUAAAGCGUGCGCAGGCGGUUUUGUAAGUCUGAUGUGAAAUCCCCGGGCUCAACCUGGGAAUUGCAUUGGAGACUGCAAGGCUAGAAUCUGGCAGAGGGGGGUAGAAUUCCACGUGUAGCAGUGAAAUGCGUAGAUAUGUGGAGGAACACCGAUGGCGAAGGCAGCCCCCUGGGUCAAGAUUGACGCUCAUGCACGAAAGCGUGGGGAGCAAACAGGAUUAGAUACCCUGGUAGUCCACGCCCUAAACGAUGUCUACUAGUUGUCGGGUCUUAAUUGACUUGGUAACGCAGCUAACGCGUGAAGUAGACCGCCUGGGGAGUACGGUCGCAAGAUUAAAACUCAAAGGAAUUGACGGGGACCCGCACAAGCGGUGGAUGAUGUGGAUUAAUUCGAUGCAACGCGAAAAACCUUACCUACCCUUGACAUGGCUGGAAUCCUCGAGAGAUU